rnacentral:misc_RNA from 1 species
UUAUUUGAUUUUAAUCCCACAAAUUUUGGGGGCUCGUCCGGGAUAUAAAUCAAGUUAUCCAGAGGAGUCAUCGAACGACGUAAGACGACGUACUGUAACGGUCGAUUUUCAAUUUGAAUAUACCGUAUCUCAACCCAUUUCUGGACUCAGGACGUCGAAGGCGGGCCAGGAAGCAGCGGCAGUGUGGCAAAUGGAAUAAUACGGAGAAUGAGGAACAAGCUGUGGAACGUUUGGAGGAAGUGUUAAGGGUGGCUUCAGAGUAUGGACUCGAGAUCAAUUGGAAGAAAAGUCAGUUGAUAUGUAAGAAGGUAGAGUACUUAGGACAUCUAAUUGAAAAUUGAGAGUUUAGGCCUUCACCAGACAAGACGGAAGCUGUGG